GCACUAGUAGCUCAGCGUCAGAGCGCCGGCCUUGUAAGUCGGAUGCCGGAAGUUAAACCCCUCCCUACUGCU
rnacentral:tRNA from 1 species